rnacentral:rRNA from 1 species
UACAUGGGGUGCAAACGUUGCUCGGAAUUAUUGGGCGUAAAGCGCACGUAGGUGGUCUGUUAUGUCGGAUGUGAAAGCCCUCGGCUUAACUGAGGAAGCGCAUCCGAAACUGGCAGGCUUGAGUACGAAAGAGGGUCGCGGAAUUCCCGGUGUAGAGGUGAAAUUCGUAGAUAUUAGGAAGAACACCGGUGGCGAAGGCGGCCAUCUGGCUCGGUACUGACGCUCAGGUUCGAAAGCGUGGGUAGCAAACAGG